GGCUUUUUUUAACCACCCACUUGCACAACCCCUCCCCCCGGCCCCGCUGCAGCUGGGUGCAAGCAGGGGCUGCAAAUAAUGCGGGCGAUGCAGAGGACGGGAGGGAGGGAGGGGAAAGAACAGAAGCCGAGAGUGGAGUAGCGGCCUAGAAAGGGGGAGGAGAAAAAAGAAAAAGGGAGGAGAAGCCGGCAGCUUGGAGGAAGGCUUCUCCUUCACGUCGAGCUGUUGUUGUCCCAUCUCGUACUGUAGCCCAAACUACUAACCUGGGAGCUGGGGGCUCGACAAGAAACGAAAACCCCGGUGGAAGGAAGCCUUUACUUUCUCAGCCGAUGUCGAUCGUCCCCUGCUUUGUGAGCCGAACUGAAAACUGUUUUUUCUUAUAGGUUAUUCGACCCGGAUUGCCGAUUCUAUUUCUGACCUUUGGAACGAGCGGUAUUGGAACUCUACAGUUACUAUAACCAGUGUACCUGUGUUGUUUGCAAUGUUGGUUCUUUUCUUGCGUCACCUCAAGGUGUGCCACAUAAUAUGAUGUCUUGUUAGACAUUGCUGGUCUGUGCGUGGGGAAUCCAGGACUGGACUUUUCUUCCCCUGUGAACUGACGGUUUACAAUUUGCGCCUGUUUGAAAUAAAGGGGUUUGAUUUUGUUCACCAA